rnacentral:lncRNA from 1 species
GGCUAGCAAAGUUGUUAGGAGCUAAGUAAUGUUUUGAGGUUGUGAAAAAUCCCUUGUAGAUUUCAAAGAGAAGGAGUUAAUGUUCUUAGGAUCUUUUGGUGAGAGAUGUGAGUUGGGUUUGGCAUUUGAGAAUGAUUGUGUAAUUGUAUGUUUGGGAAAAGGGUAGAACAAUGGAGAUUGAGCAUUGUAUGCAUGAGUUGAUCCCUUUCUUAGAUAUAUUAUGUGCAAUGUCAAGGCUACUUGUUUCGAGAGUAAACCACCUUAAAGAUUUUAUGUUUCGAACCUCUUGAAUCACUUGAAUAAAAG